rnacentral:tRNA from 1 species
ACUUUUUUAGUAUAAUUUAGUACGUCUGUUUUCCAAAUAGAAAGUUUAUUUGUUAUAGAAGAAGUA